UUAACGUGGGGUGGCCGGUCCAUGUGCAAGGCGGGGUCAACCUUGCUCUUGUGCAACCGUGCCCUCCCGAAGAAAUCGGUGUGAACACAUGCGUGCCACUGUUCGGUCGCUUAACAGGAUCCCUUAAGCUCCCAGGCAACGUUCUUGCUGGUUGAGCGUCCUGUUCCAUGGUAGGAAACCGUCCAAGGACGGUCAAAGCGACCCUGCUGGCUGGCCCCUGACACAGGGGCCCAUGCCAACUGGACCCGGGCAGUGGCCCAUGUGCUCGCAUGCCUGAACCCGUGUUUUGGCGUACUAUCUGUUUCCUCGGCGGGCUCGCCCGUCAAUGGGGACCAACCUAAACCUAUUUUGCAGUAGCAGUACUGUCUGAAUCGAAAGAAAACAAUCAAAACUUUCAACAACGGAUCUCUUGGUUCUGGCAUCGAUGAAGARCGCRGCGAAAUGCGAUAAGUAGUGUGAAUUGCAGAAUUCAGUGAAUCAUCGAAUCUUUGAACGCACAUUGCGCCCUUUGGUAYUCCUUAGSGCAUGCCUGUUCGAGCGUCAUUUGAACCCUCAAGCUCUGCUUGGUGUUGGGUGCCUGUCCCGCCUCUGGCGUGGACUCGCCUCGAAGACAUUGGCGGUUGGUGCAUCGGCCGGAAGCGCAGCACAUAGCGCAACCCGCUCUUCACCCUCCCUCCAGGAAGCCAAACUCACACCUUGACCUCGGAUCAGGUAGGGAUACCCGCUGAACUUAAGCAUAUCAAUAAGCGGAGGAAAAGAAACCAACAGGGAUUGCCCUAGUAACGGCGAGUGAAGCGGCAACAGCUCAAAUUUGAAAUCUGGCCUCUUUGGGGUCCGAGUUGUAAUUUGCAGAGGGUGCUUUGGCGUUGGCAUCGGCCUAAGUUCCUUGGAACAGGGCGUCGCAGAGGGUGAGAACCCCGUACGUGGCCGCCUGCCUUCGCCGUGUAAAGCCCCUUCGACGAGUCGAGUUGUUUGGGAAUGCAGCUCUAAAUGGGAGGUAAAUUUCUUCUAAAGCUAAAUACUGGCCAGAGACCGAUAGCGCACAAGUAGAGUGAUCGAAAGAUGAAAAGCACUUUGGAAAGAGAGUCAAAAAGCACGUGAAAUUGUUGAAAGGGAAGCGCUUGCAGGCUAUCGAUGAAGAGCGCGGCGGUUCCCCCGGUCUUUUGGCCGGGCUACUCCGUCGUGUCCAGGCCAACAUCGGUUCUGAGGGUCGGUCAAAGGCUCCGGGAAUGUAUCUACUCACGGGUAGACUUAUAGACCAGGGUGUCAUGCGGCCUCUCGGGACCGAUGGAACGCGCGUCGGCUCGG
rnacentral:rRNA from 1 species